ensembl:lncRNA
GGGCUCUCCAUCCGAUGGGAUUGUCAACCAAACUCGUCGUUGGUCGCACCGGAGGCAGAACUAUGACUUUACCCUCCACCCAACAACACACUGGCAAUAAGGAAUGAAGACUCCGUGAUUUGGAUGCUGGCAAAUACUUUGCCAGGCAAACCUAUUUAUGCGCAAAAAGACAUCCCAGUUACGGUGACAUUGUUUUCGUGUGACUCGAUUUGGACGUCAGAGUCCCUGUCUCUCUUGAAAGAAGCUCACAUCUUGAUCUUGAAGCUGACUGAAAAAGCUUGACAAGGCCCCCUCUCCGCAGUGAUGUCCAAAACCACCAGAUCAGAAUCCAAGUCCUGCUCACGGUCUCGCUCCAGGUCAAGCCAGAGAUCCCGUUCCAGGUCUCGUUCCAGGUCCCGUUCCACCUCACGGUCCAGGAGUCCCUCCAGGUCUCGGGGGAGGAAGCAUCACUACAGCUCCAGAUCCCGGUCUCGCUCCAGGUCCCGAUCCCCCUCCUCCAAGCCCCGCGAGCGGAAGUACGCCAAGGACCACCAGGCCAGGGGCCCGGGGCCCCGGGAGGCCCGGGGGUACCAACACCGUGGCUUCCAGAGGCCCUUCAACUUCAGGGGCCGAGGACGGGGCUUCUUCCCCCGCGGGCGAUUCCAGCGGGGGGGUGGAGGAGGAGGAGGCGGCGGCGGCUGGGGCUACAACCACCACAACUUCCGCAACAACUGGAGGAACUUCAGACAAUGUCCGCCGCAGAGACAGCAGUACCCCCACCCCCAGUGGCAUCAGCAGCAGCAGCAUCAGCAUCAGCAGCAGCAGCAGCAGCAGCAGCAGCCGCCGCAACAGCAGCAGCAGUACCCCAGGGGGCGCUCUGCCAGCCCCCGGAAACGCCCGGGCGUGACCCCCCCGAGGGCCGUCCCCCGCUCAGACCACUCCUCCUCCUCCCCCAAGUCCAGACGCUCAGCUCGCUCCUCCUCCUCUCACUCCCCUUGCUCCCCAAAACAGAACGCCACCUCUGAGUCGGCCAAUCAGAUCCUCUCAAGCAAUGGCAAGGAGGAGCUGCUGGCCUCCAAGGAGGCCGGAGAAGAGGAGGAGGAGGAGGAGGAGGAGGAGGAAGAGGAGGAGGUGGGAGGAGGAGUUAAUAAAGAUGGCGCUAUUGCAGGGAAGUGGCGGAGUUUGAGUGUCUGUAGCUCUGUAGUGAAGAAGUGUAAUCCACCAGAAAGUUCUGCUGAUGACGGUCAGAUGACGCUGACGUCUGCUGACCAGUCCAGCCCUGCCCACAAAAUCACAGCCAGUGGGGUGAACAGCGGCGCCCCCUCCUGGCAGGGAGUAGAAAACAAAAGCCCACCUCAAAAAAACACCAAAGCCGUUAUUUCUGGUUUUGGAAUCUUCUCUAAAAAGAACAACCUGGAUGGAGGUAGUUCCAACAUCCCUGCUGCCUUUAGAAAGUUCCUGGAGGACCAGAGUAACGGGUCCGGGCCGGGCCGGGAGAAAGGGUCUGAGGCGAGCGGUCAGGUCCCUCUGGAGGGCGGGGCUAACGGGAAGACGGGCGGCUGCGUCUCGAACCCAUCGCCGCGCCGGGCGAGCGCCGAAAUGACACUGAGGAGCUUCUUAAAAGCGUCUCCCUUUCAGUCGGGCACGGACGCUCGUGAGGAC